GGGGCUAUAGUUUAAUUGGCUAAAAUUCCUGACUUGCACUCAGGGGAUCAGGGUUCAAGUCCCUGUAGCUCCA
rnacentral:tRNA from 1 species